rnacentral:rRNA from 1 species
GACGAACGCUGGCGGCGUGCUUAACACAUGCAAGUCGAACGGAAAGGCCUGCUUUCCCCUGUGGAUUGCGGGUACUCGAGUGGCGAACGGGUGAGUAACACGUGAGUGAUCUGCCCCCAACUUGGGUAUAAGCCUGGGAAACUGGGUCUAAUUCCCGAUAGGACUGCAGGGUGGUGCCUGUGGUGGAAAACGAUUUUCUAGUGGUUGGGGAUGAGCUCGCGGCCUAUCAGCUUGUUGGUGGGGUAAUGGCCUACCAAGGCGGCGACGGGUAGCCGGCCUGAGAGGGUGGACGGCCACAUUGGGACUGAGAUACGGCCCAGACUCCUACGGGAGGCGGCAGUGGGGAAUAUUGCACAAUGGGCGGAAGCCUGAUGCAGCGACGCCGCGUGGGGGAUGACGGCCUUCGGGUUGUAAACUCCUUUCGACCGCGAGGAAGCCACCUGGUUGGAAGGGUGGUGACGGUAGUGGUAGAAGAAGCACCGGCUAACUACGUG